GCGAGCGUAGCUUAAAUGGUAGAGCACUCCGCAGGGAGUGGGUGCAGGUUCAAUUCCUGCCGCGGCA
rnacentral:tRNA from 1 species